GAGGGGAGGUAAAACCAACAAGAACUGCUAAUUCUUACCUCUGGGUCUUAAACCCCAGGCCCCUUA
rnacentral:tRNA from 1 species